AUAGAGGUUGAAAAGGCACUUGAUGAUGGCUAUAUCUAGCGAAAAUAUGGUGAAAAGUCCGUUCUUGGUUUCAAAUGCAUGAGAACCAGAGAUUCGUCUACAGCAACAGAGUCAGCCUCCAUAAACACUGAUAGUCAUUUUUAAGUUUCAAAAGUGUUGGCCUCUAGCAAAAUGAUGUGGGUUACUUCCUAAUCACAUGCAAGUGCUCUUUUCACACGUGGGGAAACAUAGAUAGAAACACAUUUUGGUACCUGAUAUAACAAAUCCUCUUGGUCAUUGGCACAAAGGCCAACUCAGUUUUCACAACAGACUGAAGUACUCCAAGGAGAAUUUGGUGAAAUAUGGUGAAUAGGCUGUAACUUAGGGAUGCUUAGGGUCCAGUUUGGUCAGUUUUGAUGAAAAUUCUUGGUCGGACCGCUAACUCGUAGAUAGACAUUUGACGCGUGUAUCCCUAUUAGCUAGAUCUUUGACACGCGUUAAGAGUAAAAGAGAGAAAGGUUGUAACUAGUAAGGAGUUGUUUGGAUUUUUAUUUUGUAAGUAAUACUAUGUUUUUUUGGUACAGUGUAACCUUAUACAUGAUGAUUAAAGCUUUAUCACA